GUCAGUGUUGUGGAGUGGUUUGAGUAUCAGAUUAUGAUUCUGGAGACCAGAGUUCGAAUCCCAGCUCAGCCA